rnacentral:lncRNA from 1 species
UUUUUUCGGCACAAGCACAAUAUUGGCCACCCAUUGUGGAUACUCAGCAGUUACAAGGAAACCGACAUCAAUCUGCUUCUGAACUUCCUCUUUGCUCCACAAUCUAUGCGGGCAUUCUGACUUCAACGACAAUCUAUGCUCCACAAUAUCAUAAUCCAACCCAAGCAUGUCUUGAUAGGACCAAGAAAACACAUCUGAAUACUCUCGAAGAAGAUCAAUCAACCUCUUCUUAGCAUCUGGACACAAUCGAGACCCAAU